UUGUGGUGUGUUUGGAGGGACGUCGGGAUGCUAGUGUCUUGGUGUGUUUGGAGGGACGUUGGGAUGCUAGUGUCUUGGUGUGUUUGGAGGGACGUCGGGAUGCCUAGUGUCUUGGUGUGUUUGGAGGGACGUCGGGAUGCUAGUGUCUUGGUGUGUUUGGAGGGACGUCGGGAUGCUAGUGUCUUGGUGUGUUUUUGGAGGGACGUCGGGAUGCUAGUGUCUUGGUGUGUUUUUUGGAGGGACGUCGGGAUGCUAGUGUCUUGGUGUGUUUUUUGGAGGGACGUCGGGAUGCUAGUGUCUUGGUGUGUUUUUUGGAGGGACGUCGGGAUGCUAGUGUCUUGGUGUGUUUUUUGGAGGGACGUCGGGAUGCUAGUGUCUUUGUUGCGACUCUUCUCUUGGUUUGUUUUUGUCCCAACCUCUUUGGAUACAGCUGUGAUUCACUCAUUCAUCAGACUUGGCUAGCUUUAAUGAUGUCAUGACCUAGAUUUUUCUGGGACAUAUUUCGGUGCAAUGGAGUGUAAUUUCAGGCGUUUUAAGAAGUAAAAAUUGUUUAAAAAAAUAAAUAAAAAAUGGUCUGUUUUUGAGAGUGAUGUCUCAUUUUGAUAAACUUGUCACUAGAUCCCCCCCCCUCACUGCCAUAUAUUUUUCUUAGUUUAUUUUAACAGGGGUUUUUAUCUUAGUCUUGAUCUUUUUCUUUCUGGCAUUGAGUGUGGUUGGUCCUUGAUAUUUUGGUGUUUGUUGAAGGACAGAGUAAAGUGUCUGAGAUUGCCAUUUGAAAAUGUGGUUUUGCAGUGAUGAGGAACUGAGAGACAUACUAGUGUGUGUGUUCUAGUGUUGGUUCUAGAAUGUUUUCUCGUGUUGGUUCUAGAAUGUGCUGUAGUGUCGGUUCAAGAAUGUGCUCUAGAAUAGGUUCUAGUGUCGGUUCUAGAAUGUGCUCUAGAAUAGGUUCUAGAAUGUGCUCUGGUGUCGGUUCUAGAAUAUGCUCUAGUGUCGGUUCUAGUGUCGGUUCACUGUGUUCCAAUGCGUGAACAGGCGUUUAUGAUGUGUAGUUAAUUUGUCAUCAUUAAAGACAGACGUGAGAGAAAUUCAAAAGAAUCACUGUUUGUUAUUUUUUUUUCCUGAAUGAGUGAGUUUGUACUUACCAGUAAUUGUUGGAUAUUGCUGUGCAUCUUUUGUGGAACUCCUACAGUAUAUGGGUGUUGUUUUUUUUAAAAAUAGGGUGUAUCUAUUCCACAGUAAGUAAGGGUUUGUUUUGAAACACGGCCGUUUGUGUAGAGAUGUAGAUGGUACAGAGACGGUGUGUUGAGGGGUUGAAGAACCCAGAGGAACAGAAUCAGGAUCCACCCCCCAUGCCAUACCUCAAAACCCCUGAUGACACACACACACACACACACACACACCAAUAUAAACCUCUGACACACACACACACACACACACACACAAUAUAAACCUCUGACACACACACACAUCACACAAAUCAAGCUGAUACGUUGAUCCAUCAUGCCUUUUUUUUUUCUUUUUUCAAACAGGUUUUUUUCUUUUAUAGUAUUAUAAAACACGUUUUUAAAAUUGAAAUUGUAAUCAAUGCGAAGAAGAAAAGUUAAACCGAUGUUGUUGAUGUGACGCUCCUUAUCCGUGUAGUGGCAGCUCUGGGGUUGCACAUGGUGCUGUUGUAAGUGUGUGUGUUCGGCUGAGGUGAGAUCUCAUCGACUCUGUUCAACCUGUGAUCUUUAACAACCGCAUCCUCCUUUUGUUGAGAAGACAUACCUCCCAGACAUGUGUAACCCUCUUCCUCUGUUAUUUGAGGGGAAAACAUACAGUCGUCCUCUUACCUUGACAUUCCUGAGUUUCUUUGAUUUUUUUUUUUAGUUCUUGCCCAAACGGUUGUGAACUUGUUUUGUUAUUUUAUUUUAAAGAAAAUGUUACAUAAAAACCUGGAGAGAAUUUUUUUACGGCCUUUCUGUCUUUCAUCUGUAGUUGUGUUAAAUAUUGUCUUGAACUGCAUUCAGACACAGCAGCCGUUUAGCUAAAUUCAACUGAUUUUACAUUCUUAAUAAAGCAUGAAUAAAACAAACAAAAACAGUCCAACCAAUAACUACACAAUUAUUUAUUGGGUUAAAAAUGUUUAAAAAAUGCAUUACACUCAUUUGACCAAAACUUUUAAUAGGAAACCACAACAAGUCCAACCCAUAGUCAUAUUCACAACUCCACAUGUUGAACCCACCCUGUAGGGAGCUCUUCAACGGGCUAGGGAGGCUCCUGCCUGGUCCUGGUCGUACAGCGGAGGGGGUGGAGGGGGGUGUUCUUGGCAGGUUUUGUCUGUCCCAUUCUGUGUCUCAUCCAUCCAUUGGUAGGACUGGCAGACGAGCAGAUUCUAUAGCCGUUAACUCGGACACCAGUGUUUCAGAGCUAAUAGGGGUGGGGGGAUGUUCUUGGUAGGUUCUGUCUGUCCCAUUCUGCGUCUCAUCCAUCCAUUGGUAGGACUGGCAGACGAACUGAUUCGAUUCGUUCCGGUUCCCACAGACCAACCAAUCCGGUGCUGAGUCAGGAAGUCCAAGACUGAAGGAAGGGAGCACUGGUCCUUUUCCAACAUCUCCAGUUCAUCCAUUGGCCAUGAGAGGGCUGUGGUCUUCACUGGAGCGAUUUGGAGAAGGGGCUUGACAGUGCAUCGUGUCAGGGUGGGUUAUCAAAUGUUAUGGGAUGGUAGGUGGUAUAGGGGAGACAUCGAGGAUGGUAGGUGGUAUAGGGGAGACAUUGAGGAUGGGAGGUGCUAUAGGGGAGACAUCGAGGAUGGUAGGUGGUAUAGGGGAGACAUCGAGGAUGGUAGGUGGUAUGGGGAGACGUUGAGGAUGGUGGGUGGUAUAGGGGAGACGUUGAGAAUGGUAGGUGGUAUAGGGGAGACGUUGAGGGUGGUAGGUAGUAUAGGGAGACGUUUCAGGGUGGUAGGUAGGUGAGGGUUGGAGUAGUGUAAAUAAAACUGAAUAUUUUAAGAGAUAUUCAAUGGGUUAUGGAGUGGUGGCUCUGUGAGGUAUGAAGACAGAAAAAGAGAGGUUAUGUGUGUUUGAUGCCUGAGAGAGAGAACGGUACAUCUGGUAAGGAGUGGGGUGUGUUAAAAAAAAAAAAAUGGCCGAUUCAGAAGAGACUGAUGUUUCAGCAGUACUGGGACAUGGUCAGGAGAGGAAAUUAGAGAAGCCUGAGACCUAGAGAGAGGGAAGAGGAUAAGGAUGGCUAACUGGUAUGGACUGGUAGGUAGCAGUCUAAUAUGAGGACUGGUAGGUAGCAGUCUAAUGUGAGGACUGGUAGGUAGGUAGCAGUCUAAUGUGAGGACUGGUAGGUAGGUAGCAGUCUAAUGUGAGGACUGGUAGGUAGGUAGCUGUCUAAUGUGAGGACUGGUAGGUAGGUAGCAGUCUAAUGUGAGGACUGGACUGGUAGGUAGCUGGUUAAUGUGAGGACUGGACUGGUAGGUAGCUGUCUAAUGUGAGGACUGGACUGGUAGGUAGCUGUCUAAUGUGAGGACUGGACUGGUAGGUAGCUGUCUAAUGUGAGGACUGGACUGGUAGGUAGCUGUCUAAUGUCAGGACUGGACUGGUAGGUAGCUGUCUAAUGUGAGGACUGGAAGGUAGCAGUGUAAUGUGAGGACUGGAAGGUAGCAGUGUAAUGUGAGGACUGGUAGGUAGUAGUGUAAUGUGAGGACUGGAAGGUAGCAGUGUAAUGUGAGGACUGGAAGGUAGCAGUGUAAUGUGAGGACUGGUAGGUAG
ensembl:lncRNA